GGACAGAGGGAUGCAAGCGUUAUCCGGAAUGAUUGGGCGUAAAGCGUCUGUAGGUGGCUUUUUAAGUCCGCCGUCAAAUCCCAGGGCUCAACCCUGGACGGCGGUGGAAACUACCAAGCGGAGUACGGUAGGGGCAGAGGGAAUUUCCGGUGGAGCGGUGAAAUGCGUAGAGAGUCGGAAAAGAACACCAACGGCGAAAGCAACUCUGCUGGGCCGACACUGACACUGGAGAG
rnacentral:rRNA from 1 species